UAGGGAAUUUUCCGCAAUGGGCGAAAGCCUGACGGAGCAAUACCGCGUGAGGGAUGACGGCCUAUGGGUUGUAAACCUCUUUUUUCAGGGAGGAAUCAAUGACGUGUACCUGAAGAAUAAGCAUCGGCUAACUCCGUGCCAGCAGCCGCGGUAAGACGGAGGAUGCAAGUGUUAUCCGGAAUCACUGGGCGUAAAGCGUCUGUAGGUGGUCCAAUAAGUCAACUGUUAAAUCUUGAGGCUCAACCUCAAAACCGCAGUCGAAACUAUUAGANUAGAGUAUAGUAGGGGUAAAGGGAAUUUCCAGUGGAGCGGUGAAAUGCGUAGAGAUUGGAAGGAACACCGAUGGCGAAGGCACUUUACUGGGCUAUUACUAACACUCAGAGACGAAAGCUAGGGUAGCA
rnacentral:rRNA from 1 species